rnacentral:lncRNA from 1 species
UUUUUUUUUUUUUUUUUUUUUUUUUUUUUUUUUUUUUGUCUUUUCUAGGGCUGCUCCCAUGGCACAUAGAGGCUCCCAGGCUAGGGGUCUAAUCGUAGCUGUAGCCACCGGCCUACGCCAGAGCCACAGCAACUCAGGAUCUGAGCCAAGUCUGCAACCUACACCAUAGCUCACAGCAACGCCGGAUCCUUAACCCACAGAGCAAGGCCAGGGAUCGAACCUGCAACCUCAUGUUUCCCAGUCAGAUUCGUUAACCACUGAGCCACAACAGGAACUCCAAAACUAUGUUUUCUUUCCUCUUCUCUGCGCAUGAGAAACAAGAAUACUUGGGGGUGACUCUUGUUUGGCUUAACCUCGACAAUAUAUCAGGGUAAGGGUGGGAAAGGAACUAUUUUGAGCACAGAAGUGUUAUUUUCACACAGGUUGUCCCAUAAGACAAAGUCCUGUGAACUCAGACCCGUGUCCUAUGGAGCAGAGUCCUGGGGCUAAGAUGCCUAUAGACUCAUUGAGCAGCAUUGGACAGUCCUGGGCAGCACUGCUUUCACUGUGUGGUAGGAUGCUGGGAGCUUUGUGUUGGCAUUUAUUAAAUAUCUGAUAUGGACUAUGUGGACUCAGAUCCUGGCACAUGGAAAGUGCCAGAUUAAAUACUGUUUUUCAUUAACAUUAUUUUUUUUUCAGUCCUCAUAAUCACCCCAGGAGGUGAAUAUAUUAUUCUUAUUUUACAGGUGGUAGCAAGAGGUGAGGCAGUGUUCCCAUGUGAUAUGGCUGGUGUGUGGGAGAGAAAGAUGCUAAUCUCUGUGCUCUGAUCUGAAAUUCCAUAAACUGAUAGCACCCUGAACAGUAAACUUUGUUCAUCAACAGCAUCAAAUAUAUCAAACAGGCUGAAAUUUAGAUACACUGUCAAACCUUAGGUUCAAGCAAGGCUGUGAAGUAUUGACUGUAUAUUCUGGGUGGUCGGGGUCCAGUUGACAAAUCCAGGAAAAAUGGAAAAGAAGAGAAAACAGGGAAAAUAGCCACCUUGCCAUACAACAUGAACCAGAAUCUUGCCCUCUGUAAGUGCAAGGCUGAUGCUUCUGUCCUGAGAUCUCUUCCAAGAAAGUAACUUCUUACUUUCCUAUCAAAGCAAAAGUUCAGCAGCUGGAGACCAAAAAGAGAAUGAUUCUUGAAAAGGUAACCAAGAAGAGUUAUGUUGGCCUCAAGAAAUUUACUUGUGGAGUUCCCAUUGUGGCACAGCAGAAACAAAUCUGACUAGGAACCAUGAGGUUGUGGGUUUGAUCCCUGGCCUCACUCAGCAGGUUAAGGAUCCAGCAUUGCCAUGAGCUGUGAUGUGAGUUGAAGACUAGGCUCGGAUCUAGUGUUGCUGUGGGUGUGGUGUAGGCCAGUAGCUGUAGCUCCGGCUAGACCCCUAGCCUGGGAACCUCCAUAUGUCGUGGUUUUGUUUUGUUUUGUUUUGUCUUUUUAGGGCUGCACCUGCAGCAUGUGGAGGUUCCCAGGCUAGGGGUCAGUCAGAGCUGUAGCUGCCAGCCUGCGCCACAGCCACAGCAGUACCAGGUCUGAGCCGUGUCUGUGACCUACACCACAGCUCUUGGCAACACCGGAUCCUUAACCCACUGAGCAAGGCCGGGGACUGAACCUGCGUCCUCAUGGAUGAUAGUCAGAUUCAUUACCACUGAGCCACGAUGGGAACUCCAGGAAGAUGCUUUUUUAGUCACAGAAGACUGUCAAUACUUCCUUAAUUUUUAUCUCAAUAGCAACUUAAAUCUGCAACUCUUGGGAGAUUUGGGGGGAGGGGCUAAACUUUGCUUUUUAUUUCAUUGGGAAAGGCAUAUUUAUGCCUGCUUAGCUCCAAUCAUAGCAGAGUUGAAAGAACCCUCAGCCUUGCAGCUUUUAACCAUGGCCAACCCUUCACAACCCAGCUUCUACUUUCUAAGGUGGAAUGAGAUAAUGCACAAUGUUCAUCCAGGCUUGGCCCUUCCAGCCAUAUGAAACUUUUCAUCUGCUGGGAUCCAGGAACUCUUGAUUUAAAAUGCAUUGAAUUCCUGCUUGGAGAGCAAGUUAAACCCAGCUUGGAUAUUUUAUUUAACCUUCAGCUAGCUGGGAGAAACCCAGUGCCAAGUCUGAACUCACACCAGGAGCAUUUUCUAGUUCUAUAUCGGUACUGACAGCAAGUCUGUUGGACUGUAUGGAAAUGAGACUGGUAUAUUCAGAACUCUGUUGUUAUCUUGGACAAGAUAUAUUUAUCUUUGCUAAGUCUCAAUACCAUUCAUUCACUCACUUGUUCAAGGAACUUUUUGACACCGACUGAGAUAAUAAUUGUACAAAGCAAACAAACACCACAUGUAGCUUUCGAGCACAGCUGUAGAAUAAGAAUGUUGAACUGGAUGAUGACAGAGGUUGCUGCCAGAUCUGUUGACAAGUGGAAGAUUCUGUGAGUAGGAUAAGUUGGUAGUUUUUUUUUUUGUUUUGUUUUGUUUUUCUCUUUCUCUCACACAGACUCCCCUGGACCUGGUCUUGUUCUGUUAUGGAACUCAGAGUGGUAGGGAGGAAAACAGCAGCGUGUAGUUUGGGCAAGUUCUCCUCUGUCCCCAGUGGUCUCUUUGUGCUUUGAACCUUGUCCUUACUCUGACUACCCUCCAUCCUCUCCUUUACUUGCUUACUAAACAUCUCCACAGUAAGUGCCCCUUUCCCCGGCAAAGCAAACGUCAAAAGCAGUUGACCCAAAGAACAGACAAAAACCCAGCACCUUGUUCACUGGGUAGCUCAACCCUCCAGACUGAGAUUCUUCAUAUCAGAUCAGUUUUCAUUAAAGUAUUAACAUAUUUCUCAGGGGAUGUAGUGUGUCUGCAGGACAUCUGAAAAGGGGUGCGGAAUUAAAGAGUUCUGUGUACAACUGCAUCUGCUUCAAAUUAUGCUCUACAAAAGACAAAAAUACAGCUCUAUAAGUCUAAAAAUACUUCUUAGUUGUUAGCCAAAAAUGCAUUUAUUCUUGGAUUCAUAAAAAUUUAAGCCAUGUGAAAUAUGCAGGGGGCAUGCACUCUCGUAAAAAAUUGACCAAAGAAAGAGAAGGAAAAGUUAAAAUAAACUUUGAAAAUCCUUUAUUGAAAGGAAAGAGAGAAAGUAAGACUUUGGGGGUAUGACUAGAAAGAACUGGGAAAGUUUGCCCUGAGGGAAAAUUAACACUUCUGAGGACCCUACACCCCAACGUCUCCCCAGGAAGACUAUGUGCAGCUGUGAGCCAGGCUCCUCACUCUCACCAUUUAAGGGGAGACUAGUAAAGCCAGAGUCAAGGACCCACAACAACCCCAAAUCUCAGCAUUGUGGUCAGUGCAAUGCUUCUCAAAGCAUCUAGGAUUUGGAAACAGUUUUUUUUUUUUUUCUUUCCAAUCCAGAAUUAGUCAAUGUUUUUAAAGGAAAUACAAUUAGAAUAAAUUGUUUUAAAAAAUGAAAUAAAAAAGACAAAUAAAAUGAGCCCCAAGGAAUUUCCCCUGUGGCACAGCAGGUUAAGGAUCCAGUGUGAAGCUGUCUCUGCAGCUACUUGAUUCACUGCUGAGGCAUGGGUUCAAUCCCAUGUGCAGUGGGUUAAGGAUCUGGCAUUGCCCGGGACCUUCCAUAUGCUGUGGGUGCAGCCUCCCUCCCCCAAAAAAUAAGCACCCAUUUUUUUAUUACUAGACUUGACAAACAUAAAAUUACAUUUCAAAAUUAUAAAAAAAAUUACUAUAAAAAGUUUCUAAGCAUGCAGUCUGUAUAUCUGUACUAUUUCAAAGUAUAUCAGUAACGAGGCACCACACUUUGAAUGGCACUGGUGCAUCAGGGUGAGAUCUGAGAGAUUUGCAGUCCAAUUCAAUCACAAGUGAAUAGUAUCCCCUGGGGCAUUAUUUGAUCAUUCUGAGCCUCUGCUAUCUCAUCUGCAAAAUGGAAUAACACUUUUUUAUGAGGGCAAGAAAGCAUAGCUAUACCAUACUUGGAAGGUAAGAAUUGAGUAAAUGCUACCAGGACAUAAUAUUUCCAUCACCAUCUAUGUUAGUUUCCUAUUGCUGCUGUAGUAAAUUACCACAAACUUAGUGGCUUAACACACAUGUAUUCUCUGAUAGUUGUAGAGGUCAAAAGUCUAAAAUGGGUUUCUCUCAGCUAAAAUCAAGCCACCUCCUAGAGGCUCUAGAUGAGGAUCCAUUUCUUGCCUUUUCUUCCUCCUAGAGGCUGCUUGCUUUUUUCAGUUUGUGGCCCUUCCUCCAUCUUCAAGCAAAUUUAUAGCAACUUUAGAUUUCUCUCUGACUUUGACCUCUUCUGCCUCUGUUUUGCAUUUUAAAGGAUCUUUGGUAUUACAUUACAUCCACCUAGAUAAUCCAGGAUAAUCCCCUUAUUUCAAGGUCAGCUGAUUAGCAACCUUAAUUCCACCUGCAAACUUAGUUCUCCCUUGCCAGAUAACAACAUAUUCAUAUUGAACAUAGUCAAGUUCCUGGAGAGUAAAAUGUGGAUAUCUUUGGGGGGGAGGUAUGUGAUAAUACUGCUUACCCCAUCAUCAAACAUCAUUCAUUCAACUGACAUUUUACUGUCCUUCAGAAUUAUCAUCUUUAAAGGACCCCAGUAGCCACUUCAUUCAUAUCCAAUCCAACAGUCAAGGAAGAAGCCUGAGAGUCAGUUAUGUGGACUGGGAGAAGCCAAGCAUUAUUCUUGAACACUAAUAGUAUCACACACAGGAGGCAAGUCUCCUUUAUCCCAUAAGAUCUUUAAAUCAUCCAGGAAGAUGCUGAGGUGUUUUGGACAGGGAUGUUAUUCCCCCAGUCAAAUGAGAAAACUGAAGCUCAGAGUGUUACUUGCCCAAGGCCAUAUCGGAUCCAUCUUCCACAACUUACUAGCCAAAUCUGGCACUUUUUUCACAAAACCAGCUUACUUUAUUUUUUCCAGUUAAUAAUAAAAGGCCUUUUAAAGGGUGAAAGUCUGUGGUCAAUGAGGAGGAAAAAAAUGAUAUAAUACUCUUGACUAAAUCAAAUAUUCCUUUUGAGGAAAAGUAGUUUAUAUCCUUAGAUUUGGUCAAAGAAAUUUAGUAUAAAUUGAAAGCACAUGAACUUGAAGAGUGAGUUUACCAUGUGCCAAGCACUGUUCUAAGGGGUGUGCAUGUAUUAAUUUGUUAAUCCUCACAAGAGCCAUUAGAGCAGAUACCAUUAUUACUCACAUUUUAUGAAUGAGGAAUUGGAGAUACAGAGAGGGACUAGCUUACCAAAAGAGAAUUCACUCCUGCCAGCACUUCUGGGAAUCCCAUCUAAUAAUAACACCACUAACAGUAAAGAUAUCUGCCAUUUAUUGCAUGCUUUACAUAGAGUUUUCUUACUCUGUUUUCUUAAUAAUGCUAAGAAGUAUUUCUCUCACAGAUGAAUAAACUAAGACUCAAAGUUCAAGUAACAUGGCCACAAUCUCCUGACUUAUAGGUGAUAGAUCUCAAACAG